AGGCUUAACACAUGCAAGUCGAGGGGCAGCGGGGGCGUAGCAAUAUGCCUGCCGGCGACCGGCGCACGGGUGAGUAACACGUAUGUAACCUGCCCUAUGCAGGGGGAUAACCCGGAGAAAUCCGGCCUAAUACCGCGUAACACCUUUGGGGAGCAUUCCCUUGGGGUUAAAGGAGAGAUCCGGCAUAGGAUGGACAUGCGUCGCAUUAGGUAGACGGCGGGGUAACGGCCCACCGUGCCGACGAUGCGUAGGGGUUCUGAGAGGAAGGCCCCCCACACUGGUACUGAGACACGGACCAGACUCCUACGGGAGGCAGCAGUGAGGAAUAUUGGUCAAUGGCCGAGAGGCUGAACCAGCCAAGUCGCGUGAGGGAAGAAUGUCCUAAGGAUUGUAAACCUCUUUUGUCGGGGAGCAAAAAGGCUCUGCGGAGUCGUAUUGAGAGUACCCGAAGAAAAAGCAUCGGCUAACUCCGUGCCAGCAGCCGCGGUAAUACGGAGGAUGCGAGCGUUAUCCGGAUUUAUUGGGUUUAAAGGGUGCGCAGGCGGCGUGUCAAGCAAGCGGUAAAAUAGCGGGGCUCAACCCCGUCGAGCCGUUUGAACUGGCGCGCUUGAGUUCAGGCGAGGUAGGCGGAAUUCGUGGUGUAGCGGUGAAAUGCAUAGAUAUCACGAAGAACUCCGAUUGCGAAGGCAGCUUACCAGUCUGCGACUGACGCUCAGGCACGAAAGUGUGGGUAUCGAACAGGAUUAGAUACCCUGGUAGUCCACACAGUAAACGAUGAGCGCUAGGUGUCCGGGUCGCAUGAGACUUGGGUGCCCGAGCGAAAGCGUUAAGCGCUCCACCUGGGGAGUACGCCGGCAACGGUGAAACUCAAAGGAAUUGACGGGGGCCCGCACAAGCGGAGGAACAUGUGGUUUAAUUUGAUGAUACGCGAGGAACCUUACCCGGGCUCAAACGACUCAGGAAUAUAUUGGAAACGAUGUAGCCAGCAAUGGUCUGAGUCGAGGUGCUGCAUGGUUGUCGUCAGCUCGUGCCGUGAGGUGUCGGCUUAAGUGCCAUAACGAGCGCAACCCCUACCGCCAGUUGCCAACGGGUAAAGCCGGGAACUCUGGCGGGACUGCCGGCGCAAGCUGCGAGGAAGGCGGGGAUGACGUCAAAUCAGCACGGCCCUUACGUCCGGGGCGACACACGUGUUACAAUGGCAGGUACAGCGGGAAGCCACCUGGUGACAGGGAGCGGAACCCGAAAGCCUGUCUCAGUUCGGAUUGGAGUCUGCAACUCGACUCCAUGAAGCUGGAUUCGCUAGUAAUCGCGCAUCAGCCAUGGCGCGGUGAAUACGUUCCCGGGCCU
rnacentral:rRNA from 1 species